rnacentral:rRNA from 1 species
GAUGAACGCUAGCUACAGGCUUAACACAUGCAAGUCGAGGGGAAACGACAUCGAAAGCUUGCUUUUGAUGGGCGUCGACCGGCGCACGGGUGAGUAACGCGUAUCCAACCUGCCCACCACUUGGGGAUAAACCUUGCGAAAGUAAGACUAAUACCCAAUGAUAUCCCACGAAGGCAUCCGAAUGGGAUUAAAGAUUUAUCGGUGAUGGAUGGGGAUGCGUCUGAUUAGCUUGUUGCGGGGUAACGGCCCACCAAGGCAACGAUCAGUAGGGGUUCUGAGAGGAAGGUCCCCCACAUUGGAACUGAGACACGGUCCCAAAACUCCUACGGGAGGCAGCAGUGAGGAAUAUUGGUCAAUGGGCGAGAG